AGUCCCGGCUAGGGACACAGCUCUUAGACUUUGAGCUAGACAACCAGGAGGACAGGAGGACCUAGUAUCCUGCCUCCAUCAGCCCAUCAUUUAUGCAAAUGCUACUUAGUUGCCGUCUAGAUGCAGGAUGCUGUCUGCCCUGUUAAAUGCUGUGUGAACCCAGAUGGAAGCUGAGCAGACAUCACACUCGUGAGCAGCUCCCCUUCCUACAGGUUUCAGGCUGGCCUUGAACUUACAGGGAUUCACCUGCCUCUGCCUCCCAGAUGCUGAGAUUAAAGGCAUGUGCCAUCACCACCUGAACAACAGCAGCUUUCUAAGGAACCAGUAAGGCACUACAGACUUUUCAUAUAACAUCACCUUCAUUCUCUCACAACUAAUUCUACAAAACAGAUGUUAUACGACCUCGUUCGCUGAAGUCAAAGAUGCAGAGGGGCCAAGGUGUGGGCUCCGGACCUCACACCAGUGUGGCAGAUUCAACAAGCCCAGAAUAAGCCUCUUCCUUUGCUCACAAUAAGAUUAAGCCAACUGCCUCUUCAUUCCUCAGUCACACUCCUCCUCUGACCCUGCUCCAGGAGGCUCAUCUUGUCAGACUUCACACUGAAUGAGCGCUGAGGAUGCUGUAGAGUAUGAGCUGUGUGCAGGUUUCAAAAGCAAUUUGUGCCCCUGAAACAAGCCAACCAGCAGAGAAGGAACAAAAGAAACAUGGUGUCUUCUACCUCCAGCCUUGAAGCUUCCAGACCUCCCUACACGAACCCCCCCCCCACACCCACUCCCCGAAAUGAUGUCCCAGUGAAGAGCCAGGCUCUUAUCCUUCCAUCCAUGCCUCUCAGGCGUCUGCUUCAUUUAGCAUGUAUGUGCAUUUUACCAGGUUAAUGCAACACAGACUAUUUCCUAGUAGCUGUGAAGCCCAGUGUAGCCUCUGCUGCCGGACACAUGGUUUGUCUCCAGUCUUUCCCUUCCCAGCAAAGCAGCCUUGACUCAUCUCCUUUCUCUAUGACAGAGCCCUUUAGAAUGUACUCACUGGGCCAACGAUGCAGUUUCAAUUUGGGUUUUUAAUGGAAGUGGGUGGCUAGGUAAGUGGGUUGAAUGACUGACUGAUUCUGAAUAGCUCUGAAUUUAUUGAGCUGCUUCCAGGAAGGUCCAGGUGACCUGGGUAGCAGAAAGGACACCCAUUCCUGUUUGAUGGUGUUUUUUUUCUAUCUAUCAUCCUUCCUGUCUUUCCUUCUUUAUUUCUUUCUGGGUGAGACAGGGUCUUAUAAUACAGUUUCAGCCAGCCUGGAACUCAUUAUGUAAACCAGGCUGGUCUCCAGCUCAUGGAGAUGAGCCUGCCUUUGCUUCCCAUGUACUGAAAUUAAAGCCCAGCUUGUUUUUUUCUCUUUACCACACUGGGGAUUCAACCCAAGGCUAGUAAGCACCCUGGCACUGAGUAUAUUCUGGACCUCUUCUUAUUUUAAUGUUGAUGUAGGGUCCUGCUAAGUUUCCCAGACUGACCUUCAACUCACUAUGCAAGUCCAGGCAGGCCUUGAACUCACGAUCCUCCUGGUUCAGCUUCCUGAGCUGAUGAGUGGCAGGCACCAUUAGUCUCAUUCGGAAGGAUGUGCUUCAUCCUUGGUGAAAGCGCUCAUCUCUUGUCUUGGCUGGCUAGAAUUUCCAGGGUGAAGAAAGGAGGAUUAGAAAAGUUCAAGGUCACCCUCCCCUACAUAGAGAGUUCAAGGCCAGGCUGGGCCACAUGAGAAAAACCAAAAGAACAGAUGGUGUUAGCAGGAGGUAGGGAAGGAGUAGGGAGGUCCAGCCCUGGGUGGGGCAGAGCCCCUGCUAAAGACAAGGGACAUUCCUUAGUGUCAACUUUCCCUUAGGAUGGAGAGGAGGGGUUGCUAGCUCGUCACACCCCACAGCCCUGGAGGACAGGAGCUUACUGUUGAGUUAGUGGGGCAGAGUCGGGGAGAGGCUGUCAUUUCGGCAGCCCUGGUACAUGGAGCCACUAGCAGGCUUCUUCGUCUCAUGUCUUCAUCCGCACCACCUCCUAGCAGCCUGCCCUCCCCAACUUGUCCACUUAAAGCCUGGGCCAGUGAGAUGACUCUGCAGAUAAAGGUAUUGUCACCCAGCCUGAGGACCUGAGUUCAAUUUCUGGGUUCCAUAUGAUGGAAGGAGAGAACUGAGUCCCUUAACUUGAUCUCUAACCUGCACAUGUGGAUUGUGAAUGGGCUUAUGUGCCCACACACCCUCUCUCUCACACAAUAAACAUAAGUAAUAAAUGUAUACAUGCAUAUACACAUACAUAAUACACACAUACAUACAUGCUUGAAUGCAUACAUACGUUCGUAUGUAUGUCCUUGCCACUCUCUUGGAACCUGACUCCUACAGAAUGUAACCUUGAUUUGUGCUCCAGGCUCACUUGACACCUGGCUUCUGUGGCUUGUUCGAGUCCUCUGUCUCCCAGACAAUGAGCUAGGAUUCUGGUCAUUCAGGUUCAGCCUGGGUGCAGAGAGUUUUGAGUGGGCCUGUCCACUGGAGACCACUCCUCUCGUCACCCAUGAAGCAUCUAAAGUUAAGUAUGAUGGUGCAGACCUGGAAUCCCAGAAUUCAGGAGGUGGGGGCAGGGAUUUCUAAACUCAGAAGUCAGCCUGAGCUAUCUAGAGAGAUGCUGUUUCAAAAAUUUAAAACAGCCGGGUGUGGUGGCACACGCCUUUAAUCCCAGCACUCGGGAGGCAGAGGUAGGCGGAUUUCUGAGUUCGAGGCCAGCCUGGUCUACAAAGUGAGUUCCAGGACAGCCAGGGAUAUACAGAGAAACCCUGUCUCGAAAAACCAAAAAUAAAAAAUAAAUAAAACAAAACCGAA
rnacentral:lncRNA from 1 species